rnacentral:rRNA from 1 species
UACGGGGGGGGCAAGCGUUGUUCGGAAUUACUGGGCGUAAAGGGCUCGUAGGCGGCCAACUAAGUCGGAUGUGAAAUCCCCAGGCUCAACUUGGGAACUGCAUCCGAUACUGGAUGGCUUGAAUUCGGGAGAGGGAUGCAGAAUUCCAGGUGUAGCGGUGAAAUGCGUAGAUAUCUGGAGGAAUACCGGUGGCGAAGGCGGCGACCUGGUCCUUGACUGACGCUGAGGCGCGAAAGCGUGGGGAGCAAACAGG